rnacentral:rRNA from 1 species
GACGAACGCUGGCGGCGUGCUUAACACAUGCAAGUCGAACGGAAAGGCCUCUUUCGGGGGGUACUCGAGUGGCGAACGGGUGAGUAACACGUGAGUAACCUGCCCUUGACUUUGGGAUAACUUCAGGAAACUGGGGCUAAUACCGGAUAGGAGCUCCUGCUGCAUGGUGGGGGUUGGAAAGUUUCGGCGGUUGGGGAUGGACUCGCGGCUUAUCAGCUUGUUGGUGGGGUAGUGGCUUACCAAGGCUUUGACGGGUAGCCGGCCUGAGAGGGUGACCGGCCACAUUGGGACUGAGAUACGGCCCAGACGCCUACGGGAGGCAGCAGUGGGGAAUAUUGCACAAGGGGUGGAAGCCUGAUGCAGCAACGCCGGGUGCGGGAUGACGGCCUUCGGGUUGUAAACCGCUUUCGCUCAUGACGAAGCUUUGUGUGACGGUAGUGGGUAAAGAAGCACCGGCUAACUACGUG